UUGGUUGAGAUCUCACGCGGA
ensembl:piRNA 21ur-5426 ncRNA